rnacentral:tRNA from 1 species
GCCUGAGGAUAGCUCAGUUGGUAGAGAAUAAGUGCCUUGAUCUCAGGGUUGUGGGUUUGAGCCCCAUGUUGGGCA